ensembl:snoRNA SNORD18 Small nucleolar RNA SNORD18
UGAAAAUGAUGAAAUUCCACAUAUUGGUCCGUGUUUCUGAAACACAUGAUAUUUGUGGAAAUUCUGAUAUA